UUUAUCCUCUUCCCUACCAAUUGCAAUCUUAUAUCUCUUAAAUUCAUUCAAAAGAGCAACACUAGCACUAGAGUCAACAUCAUCAUCAAAUUCAGAAAUUUGGCUCACUUGGGAUUGGUUACUGUCACCAAUUUUCUCAAGAAGAGGUGUACAUUUUUUUGGUAUUCAACAAGCAACUCUUCCAUUGUUUUCUUCAAACUCACACAAAUCGAUGAAGCCUGCUCAUUCGAAUACAUUUUCCUCAAAC
rnacentral:lncRNA from 1 species